rnacentral:rRNA from 1 species
UACGGGGGGGGUAAGCGUUGUUCGGAAUUACUGGGCGUAAAGGGCUCGUAGGCGGCCAACUAAGUCGGACGUGAAAUCCCUCAGCUUAACUGGGGAACUGCGUCCGAUACUGGAUGGCUUGGAUUUGGGAGAGGGAUGCGGAAUUCCAGGUGUAGCGGUGAAAUGCGUAGAUAUCUGGAGGAACACCGGUGGCGAAGGCGGCAUCCUGGACCAAUAUUGACGCUGAGGAGCGAAAUCCAGGGGAGCAAACGGG